GGAGCCAGGAGAAGCAGCUCCUUGCACAGCUCAGCCAUGGAGCCAGCAUCCCAGCAGACCUGUCUCAGCUGAUGGGUUCGCUGUGGUUCACAGCAGCUCUAUGGAGCACUGCCUGUGGCAGGAGGGGAUUUCAUUCUCCAACGAUUUUUCCCUGCUAUGUUUCCUCUGGUGAGUACGAGCUGUGUGUGGUCUAGGGAAGCUGGCUGCGCUGUGUGAGCAGGGCUGGCUCCCAAUGCCAGCGCUGGAGGAACACGUGUCACACAUGGAUGUGCAGGUUGGAGGCAGGGAGCACUACCCCUCCUGGGUGAGGCCACCAGCAGCGCGGUGCACAAGGGCGCUUUUGCGUCCCCUCCUUGCCUCGGUGCCGCGUUUGAGUGUCUUUCUGCCCACACAGCAUAUACUUGAGCAAGGUCCCUGAAAGCUGGUGGCCUCAGCUCCCUGACCUUCCACUUACCCAGGCCCAGAGAGGAGCUUGAUAUGGCUCUUGAUAGCCAUGGAGCCCUGCCCUGACUUGGGAUACCGAGCAUCUGCAGAGCUGAAUGCAGACCUGGGCCCAUGCUGCUGAAACGAGCCACUGCCCAGUGCUGCGGAAAUGCCACUCCCUCCCUCCCUCCUCCCUCCCUCCCUCGGGAGGCACAGUGGCACCUUCCGAGGGAGGGAGGGAGGGAGGGAGGGAGUGUCCUUCGGUCCCCAGGGUACCCCAGAGCCCUGUCACCUCGAGAAACAAGGUGGCAACAAAACCGGGGCAGCUUCGGGCGUGCAACAGCGGCAACUCCGCCGGCCCUGCCUCGGAUCAGCGCACCAACACCCGAACGUGACCGUACGGGAGCUGAGCCCGCGGACCCCGGGUGGAAGCUGAGCGCCCGGGGAAGGGUUCGCCCCUAGCCCCGGCUGCGCUUCACCCCUGCGAGAGCAGCACUUGCUGAGCCGACAGAAAUCCAAUCCCGGGGCCGGCUUUAAUUCUCCCUCUUCUCCUUUCUUUGCGCCCCGUGUCCCCGCAGCCAUUUGUCCCCGGGCGGCAGCUGGUGCCGAGCCCAGGGCGCUGCGCCGUAACACGAGCCAGCUCCCCGCAGCCGGGAUGCGCGGCACGUCGGGACGGGGACGACUCGCUGCUUUUCCCGCUGGCUCUUGGUUCUCUGGAAAUCCAAAAUGGAGCAGGCGUGCUCCCGUGGGUGUGGGAGGCGCAGGGGGUGACUCAUGAGCAGAGCACCGCAGCCGGGUCCAGCCCAGGGCGCUCCGGGGCCGCGCAGGCACGGCCGCAAGAGGCUGGAUAGAGCCAAAGGCAGGGGCGAGAUCUCCCUCCUCGCUGGCCCUGAAAGCAAACACCAGGCACCUGGGGGAGCGGGGAGGGGAGGAGGGCACUGAUAAAGGAAGCGGUGGAUUGAGGUAUCAGAUGUUUCCUGCCGGGAUUUGAUGGCCUGAAGGACGGCGGAUUCCGCGCAUUAGCAGCGGGCAGGUCCCGCUCCGGGCCGGCCUGGCCGCUCCCUGGGAAGCCGCUCACAGCCCGGAGCAUCCCUCGGCACACGUAGUCCAGGAACGGCCACCACGGGCACCUCUGUGUGCCGGGAGGACAGAAGGCUCACAGCAGGAACAGGCCUCGCACAAGGCCAUGUUUCUCUUGUUCUGUCAGGUGGAGCGGGGUCAGACCGGGCUGUCCCUCCCCUGUCCCUUGCCACCUCCCGCGGGUGAACACCUCCCACCCCUCCUCCUGCAGCCCUCAUGGGGUCUUGUCUUCCCCUGACUGCCCUCUUUCGUGGAGGGAAAGAACAAAGCCAGAAUUUAUUUUAAUUGUUUAUUGUAUAAUAUAAAACUACAAAAGUAAGACUGCUCAUUUCCAUGUACAUUUGUCCAAUUGUUUUUUUGAUUACAGCCCAUACCUACAUGUGAAUACAGUAAUCUGGUUUCAGAUGUCUGUAAUAUUGCAUAGAAAAGGCACAGCUCUAAGGUCUGUGGGAGGGGAAGGGGAAAUACAGCCUUUUUUCUUUUUUUUUUUUCCUUUUUUUUAUCUUCUUUUUUUUUUUUUUUUUUUGACAAUAACAAGCCCUGUUCAAACAACCAUGCACUGAACAUGUCACACUAUUUACACCUUUUCCAGAAUCUUGGCCUUUGCAGGCACUAGUAUGGAAUAUGCUCAGAACUAGAUAGGAGUUGCGGUUGAGAUUUUUAUCUGCAAUUUGUGUUUUUAAAGAGGUUCCAGAACUUGCGUUAGACAUAUUUUCAGAAAAAGAAAAAAGUGCUUAAAAAGAACUAAUUUAUUUUAAAAUGUUCAGUCUCAUUAAUAGGAUAUUGAAAGCAACUUGCACAGAAGCAGGAUACUGAAGCCUAAUUGGGGGGUUGGGGGAGGAAAAAAGAACCAAACCAAAAGAAACCCUGUAACAAGAACAAAAAGUUCAAAACAUGCCAGAAUGAAUUAAACCAUUUGUCAGACAGGACCCAUUGCUAUAUACUCAAUUUAAUGGUAAUAAAGUUUAAACUUUGGAUUCAAAAUUAUCAGUUUUAAACAACCCAGGCUCUUACCACACGGCGUGGAGGAAAAUCCGAAUUUCUGCUGACAGUGAUUUCUGCUGGCGGUGCCUCCGCGGCGUUGCUCUCCCGGCCGGCUGCAGGCGGUGCCGGAGCGAUGCCCGCACAGACGGCGCUGCGAGGCCGCUCUUCUCCAAGAGGGAUGCUCCACUUCCUCUGCUCCCAGGGCGGUGGGGACCCGCCCGGCCCCGGAGGCACUGCGGAGCCCCGGGCUGGUCGGACACAGGCUUUGGUCUGUACGGGACGUCCCGCCCGGCCCCACCUCCGGGCAAGGACGUGGCUCUGGCACAGCUCCUGGGGCCGGAGGGAACAUCCUGCCCCCUUCUAUGGGCAUCCGGCCCCGGGAAUUCUGCUGGACCUCCCGUGCGUGUUCAAAAAAUGAGGGAAAAAAAUCAUAUUUUCUAAACCUUUCCCAGGCCAGCACGAUGGAGAUUGACUGCAUUUGCCCCUGCCUUCAGUGGCAGAUUCCAGUAGCGUGCCAAGGGAGGCCACUCUCAAGCAGCCAGUGGGGGGUAGGAGCCUAAUUAGAACUAAUUUUGAGCAUAACCCUGUCCCUCCUCCAUACCUUUUUUUGCAUAUUUCAAACAACCAGACCCAUAUUAGAAAAAGAGUGUAGGGAAAAAAUAAUCCUGGGAUCCAUGCAUAUCCUGACUGGAACUCAAUUAAUUCUUUCUGAAUCUGGCUCCCAUACCCUUUUUCAUACAGAUUUACAUUCCUACAAGAGGAUACAUUCCUACCAUACAUUCUGUACAUGUUACAAUCCAGAUGUUGUUAGCUUCACAAUAAAAUAAAUAUAUUUACAGAAGAAAAAAAAAAAGAAUAAAUAAUUUAAGAAAAAAAAAUCACUUCAAAUCCAAAGCCCUCUUAUUCUGCUCCCAUCUUGUCACUUCAUUGCACGUUAAUGUCAAUCUCCAUCCCUGGUGUAAGUCUCAGAGAAAUUCCAUGUGUGGCUGCUGUUGGGACCACAGCACAGGCCCAGCUAGAGACACUCAAUGACUGGGCAGGGGAAAAACCACAGCUCAGCCCUUCCAACCCAGGCCUGCACCAGCCUUCCCAACCUUCUGCUGAGUCCCACAAUUCAAGUAGCUUUCUGUCCUGUGGGAUUCCUGUAGGGAUUCUGCCCCAGGACACGUGCUUCAGCACCAAGGAACCACAGACACUGCCCAAGUGGCAGACUGGAUCUAGAGCUUGGCUCCUGCUCUCUGGGUACAAAAACUUCACUUCAGCUGACUCCCCUUAACAGCACAGGUCUCUGAGAAGGGCACUGAUGGGAGCUUUUGCCCAGCAGGUGUAAAUACUUCAGUAAUCCCAAAAAGCAGGCAGCUGCAGCGUCCUGCAAAUCAGUUUUUUAACCGUGGUAAGGCAAGUGCCUACCAAGUUACCGAGUGAGACUGGUGCUGUUCCAGGUUUGCACCAGGUGCUGUUCCAGGGUUGUGUUCCCAGGUACUCGAGUCACAGGGAAGGCCUCGGGUUCUCCUGCAAGGGCCGAGGACUGCUGUGGAAUAAGGGCUGGGUGGAGCUGGAGCUGUCCCCCCUCUCCACGCCCUCCCUUCCCCUGGUCCCUAAAGCUACACUUGGUCAAUGGUUCUCUGUUUGAAGCAGUAACCUUCUUUCUCUUUAGUCUGCGUAGUGACUGCAAAUCCAUCAGCACCCCAGUGCUUCACAGAGUUCAAAUUGGGAAAAGCAAACCCACCCCCCGGGCCCGUGCCCCCCUCUCCCCCAGCCCUGUCUCUCCCUGACAGAUGAACUGGGAGCCAGAAGCGCCGUUCGCAGCUGUACAUGAUGCAUUUCAUUUCCAUUAGGAGUUCCUUCAUUGCAAAAAUGUUUUUGCUUUCAUCCUGUGUCUGUGUGCAUAUCUAUGUUACAUCUAUCUAUAUACUAAUAAAUAUAUAUGGCCUGUUUUAAAGUGCCAAUUUAUAAAAAGCCGCCUCCUCAAAAGGCAGGCAAGACCCAAUUUCAUCCAUGACAAGAAGGGAGCAGAAUCGACUGAAUAUUGCCAAAUGACGUAAAACAUAAUUUAAAAUCUCUUAAAUAAAUAUAAAAGUUAUUCCUAAAGAAGCCAUAGGCAUGUCAACAAUAUAGGUUGUAACCGGCACUCAACAACUAAAGUACCAUUGGAAAACUAAAAUGCCAUAGCAACUUCAGCAAUAGGCAUGAUACAUUGCAAACAUUUUCAUCUUUUUAAAUUAAAUGUACACCAUAACGAACUUAGGGAAAAAAAAAAAAAAGCUAUUGGUGCAAUAAGAAGACUUCUCAGGUGUUACGGGGAAGGGGACCAUGCAUAGAAAGCUGUGUCUGUAUAUUCGUUGUAAAACGGGUCUAUAAAGUGUAAAGCAGGUAACACAGUUGAUACAAGAACCCAACUCUAUAGAGAUGCCAAGUGAUGUCACACGACUGGCUCCAGUUUCAACAGCAAUGGAUAUUAAAGCAAGUCCAUCCAGUGCAGGUACGAGAUGAGCUUCACUGCAGUAAUACUG